AGCUUCUUGGAUCAAAGAGGUUAAUUUUGGCAGCCUUGAAACCUGAAAUAAACCUUCAACCGUGUUCUUGUUUUCAUGGAACUUUGAUCUUGAAACCAAAUCUGUCCAAGUUGUUUACGUUAAUUGCUGUGAAAUUGUGGUCUAAACUAGCUGGCUAUUGUGUGAAAACACCCCAACAGAAGUCAAAAAAAAAAAAUUUCAAGAAAGACGGCUCUAGUUUCCAAUUCUUGACCAGCCUUCAAGUUUUACCAAAUCUGAUUCAAAGGUCAAAAAAAAAGAUUUUCAAGAA
rnacentral:lncRNA from 1 species